GGGGAAUUGUUCGCAAUGGGCGCAAGCCUGACGACGCAACGCCGCGUGGAGGACGAAGACCUUCGGGUCGUAAACUCCUUUCGAUCGAGACGAAUGGCCUCGGGGUGAACAAUCCCGAGGAGUGACGGUACCGGGAGAAUAAGCCCCGGCUAACUCCGUGCCAGCAGCCGCGGUAAUACGGGGGGAGCAAGCGUUGUUCGGAUUUACUGGGCGUAAAGGGCGCGCAGGCGGCUACAUUUGUCAGGCGUGAAAGCCCCGGGCUUAACCUGGGAACUGCGUUUGAUACGGUGUGGCUAGAGUUCGGGAGAGGAGAGUGGAAUUCCCAGUGUAGAGGUGAAAUUCGUAGAUAUUGGGAAGAACACCGGUGGCGAAGGCGGCUCUCUGGACCGAGACUGACGCUGAGGCGCGAAAGCGUGGGGAGCAAA
rnacentral:rRNA from 1 species